rnacentral:rRNA from 1 species
CCUACGGGAGGCAGCAGUGAGGAAUAUUGGUCAAUGGACGAGAGUCUGAACCAGCCAAGUAGCGUGAAGGAUGACUGCCCUAUGGGUUGUAAACUUCUUUUAUAUGGGAAUAAAACGUUCCACGUGUGGGAUUUUGUAUGUACCAUAUGAAUAAGGAUCGGCUAACUCCGUGCCAGCAGCCGCGGUAAUACGGAGGAUCCGAGCGUUAUCCGGAUUUAUUGGGUUUAAAGGGAGCGUAGGUGGAUUGUUAAGUCAGUUGUGAAAGUUUGCGGCUCAACCGUAAAAUUGCAGUUGAAACUGGCAGUCUUGAGUACAGUAGAGGUGGGCGGAAUUCGUGGUGUAGCGGUGAAAUGCUUAGAUAUCACGAAGAACUCCGAUUGCGAAGGCAGUUCACUGGACUGCUACUGACACUGAGGCUCGAAAGUGUGGGUAUCAAACAGGAUUAGAUACCCCUGUAGUC